GUAAAUAAUUAAGGGCGUAUGGUGGAUGCCUAGGCUCUCAGAGGCGAUGAAGGACGUGAUAAGCUGCGAAAAGCUCCGUUUAGGUGCAAAUAACCUUUGAUGCGGAGAUCUCCGAAUGGGAUAACCCAAUAUGUUGAAGACAUAUUAUACCGUAAGGUAGGCAAACGCAGGGAACUGAAACAUCUAAGUACCUGCAGGAGAAGAAAACAAAAGUGAUUCCCCCAGUAGCGGCGAGCGACCGGGGAUAAGCCCAAACCGUUAUUGUUUCGGCAGUAGCGGGGUAGUAGGACUGCGACAUUGAUGAAAUAAAUGAAAUGGAACACCUUGGAAAAUGUGAUCACAGAGGGUGAUAAUCCCGUACAUGCAAGUUUAUGAAUCAUAGCAGUAUCCUGAGUAAGUCGGGACACGUGUAAUCCUGACCGAAUCCGCCGGGACCAUCCGGCAAGGCUAAAUACUCCUGAGAGACCGAUAGUGAACCAGUACCGUGAGGGAAAGGUGAAAAGCACUUCGAACAGAAGAGUGAAAUAGUCCCUGAACCCAUACGCCUACAAGCAGUCGGAGCCGCUUCGUGCGGUGACGGCGUGCCUUUUGCAUAAUGAGCCUACGAGUUACUCAUCACCAGCGAGGUUAAGUACUUCAGGUACGUAAGCCGAAGCGAAAGCGAGUCUGAAUAGGGCGUCAAGUUGGUGGUGGUAGACGCGAAACCUUAGUGAUCUACCCAUGGGCAGGGUGAAGGUUUGGUAACACAAACUGGAGGCCCGAACCGGUAAACGUUGAAAAGUUUUCGGAUGACCUGUGGGUAGGGGUGAAAGGCCAAUCAAACUGGGAAAUAGCUCGUACUCUCCGAAAUGCAUUUAGGUGCAGCCUCUGUUGUUUUGUUCUAGAGGUAGAGCUACUGAUUGGAUGCGAGGGCUUCACCGCCUAUCAAAUCCGGCCAAACUCCGAAUGCUAGAACAUGAAGACAGGGAGUGAGCCAGCGGGUGCUAAGGUCCGUUGACGAAAGAGGGAGAACUCAGACCAUCAGCUAAGGUCCCCAAUUGUAUGCUAAGUUGGAAUUAAAACGGGGUGGGACUGCUUAGACAGCUAGGAUGUUGGCUUGGAAGCAGCCAUUCAUUUAAAGAGUGCGUAACAGCUCACUAGUCGAGCGGUCCUGCAUGGAUAAUACGCGGGCAUAAGCAUAUAACCGAAGCUAUGGGAUUGUAGAUGAUACAAUCGGUAGGAGAGCAUUCCAUUCAGCGUAGAAGCAGUAUCGUGAGGUAUUGUGGAGCGGAUGGAAAAGCAAAUGUAGGCAUAAGUAACGAUAAUGCGGGUGAGAACCCCGCACGCCGAAAGAUCAAGGAUUCCCCGGCAAUGUCAAUCAUCCGGGGGUAAGUCGGAUCCUAAGGGUAAGCCGAGUGGCGAUCCCGAUGGCAAACAGGUUAAUAUUCCUGUACUGAUCAUAACUGCGAUGCAGCGACGCAGAGGUGACACUGCUGCGUACUGACGGAAUAGUACGUUGAAACCCGUAUUCUUUGAUACCGGUAGUGAAGCACGCCGGUAGAGAUGAAAGGUGAUAGUACCGCAAUGCUUCGGUUGCGCGGAUAAUGCAGGUAAGCUGACUGCCAAGAAAACCUGCUAAGCUUCAGGUAAUGAUCAUCCGUACUGUAAACGGACACACGUGAUCAGGUAGAAAAUACUAAGGCGCUCGAGAGAUUCAUGGUUAAGGAACUAGGCAAAAUGGUCCUGUAACUUCGGGAUAAAGGACGCUCUUGUGAAAGAGCCGCAGAUAAUAGGCCCAGGCGACUGUUUACCAAAAACACAUGGCUAUGCUAAUUCGCAAGAAGAUGUAUAUGGCCUGACACCUGCCCGGUGCCGGAAGGUUAAGAGGAGAGCUCAGAGGUAACUCGAAGGUUUGAAUUGAAGCCCCGGUAAACGGCGGCCGUAACUAUAACGGUCCUAAGGUAGCGAAAUUCCUUGUCGGGUAAGUUC
rnacentral:rRNA from 1 species